UUUUGACUGUGCAAAGGUAGCAUAAUCAUUAGUUUUUUGAUUGAAAGCUGGAAUGAAAGGUUUGAUGAGAAAAUAACUGUCUCUAUGUGAAUGUAUUAGAAUUUCAAUUUUAAGUGAAAAAGCUUAAAUUUUUUAUAAAGACGAGAAGACCCUAUAGAGUUUUAUAAUUGAUUAAAUAUAAAAGUUAUUGAAUUUAUUUUUUUAUUUUUAUUUAAUUAUUUUGUUGGGGCGAUGGAAAAAUUUGAAAAACUUUUUUUUGUUUGUAACAUUGAUUUAUGAUUAUUUGAUCCUUUUUUUUGGAUUACAAGAUUAAAUUACCUUAGGGAUAACAGCGUAAUUUUUUUUGGAGAGUUCUUAUCGAUAAAAAAGUUUGCGACCUCGAUGUUGGAUUAAAAUUAAAUUUUGGUGUAGAAGCUAAAAUUUUAGGUCUGUUCGACCUUUGAAAUUUU
rnacentral:rRNA from 1 species